rnacentral:rRNA from 1 species
GAUGAACGCUGGCGGCGUGCCUAAUACAUGCAAGUCGAGCGAACGGACGAGAAGCUUGCUUCUCUGAUGUUAGCGGCGGACGGGUGAGUAACACGUGGAUAACCUACCUAUAAGACUGGGAUAACUUCGGGAAACCGGAGCUAAUACCGGAUGAUAUUUUGAACCGCAUGGUUCAAAAGUGAAAGACGGUCUUGCUGUCACUUAUAGAUGGAUCCGCGCUGCAUUAGCUAGUUGGUAAGGUAACGGCUUACCAAGGCAACGAUGCAUAGCCGACCUGAGAGGGUGAUCGGCCACACUGGAACGGAAACACGGUCCAGACUCCUACGGGAGGCAGCAGUAGGGAAUCUUCCGCAAUGGGCGAAAGCCUGACGGAGCAACGCCGCGUGAGUGAUGAAGGUCUUCGGAUCGUAAAACUCUGUUAUUAGGGAAGAACAUAUGUGUAAGUAACUGUGCACAUCUUGACGGUACCUAAUCAGAAAGCCACGGCUAACUACGUG